rnacentral:rRNA from 1 species
CAGCAGCCGCGGUAAUACCGGCGGCCCGAGUGGCGGUCGCUAUUAUUGGGCUUAAAGCGUCCGUAGCCGGGUUGGGAAGUCCUCCGGGAAAUCUGGCCGCUUAACGGUCAGAAUGCCGGAGGAUACUCCCAGCCUAGGGAGCGGGAGAGGCCGAGGGUAUUCCCGGAGUAGGGGGGAAAUCCUAUAAUCCCGGGAGGACCACCUGUGGCGAAGGCGCUCGGCUGGAACGGGUCCGACGGUGAGGGACGAAGGCCAGGGGAGCAAACCGGAUUAGAUACCCGGGUAGUCCUGGCUGUAAACGAUGCGGACUUUGUGUCGGACAAGCUAUGAGCUUGUCCGGUGCCGGAGGGAAACCGUUAAGUCCGCCGCCUGGGGAGUACGGCCGCAAGGCUGAAACUUAAAGGAAUUGGCGGG